GGAGGUCAGUUCUCCGGAGCCAUUGCCGGAUUUAUAAACUCAUCUUUUUUCUUGCUUCUUUCUUCUUUCAUUUUCGUUGAAGGUUACUGAUAUAUGCUUUCAUAUGUUUCCUUUUUACUUGAUUACACUUACGUGUGUUUCGAUUCUUGUUAGAUUUGACUGUUAGGGUUCAUAUCUGUUGAGUUUUGAUAUAUGUGGUGGGUUUGUUUUUUUAUGAUUUUGGAUGUUAGAUUUGAG
rnacentral:lncRNA from 1 species